AUUGAACGCUGGCGGCGUGCCUAACACAUGCAAGUCGAGCGGUAACAGGUGUAGCAAUACAUGCUGACGAGCGGCGGACGGGUGAGUAACGCUUGGGAAUCUGCCUAUUAGUGGGGGACAACCCGGGGAAACUCGGGCUAAUACCGCAUACGCUCUACGGAGGAAAGCCGGGGACCGCAAGGCCUGGCGCUAAUAGAUGAGCCCAAGUCGGAUUAGCUAGUUGGUAGGGAAUGGCCUACCAAGGCGACGAUCCGUAACUGGUCUGAGAGGACGACCAGUCACACCGGAACUGAGACACGGUCCGGACUCCUACGGGAGGCAGCAGUGGGGAAUAUUGGACAAUGGGCGAAAGCCUGAUCCAGCGACGCCGCGUGGGUGAAGAAGGCCUGCGGGUUGUAAAG
rnacentral:rRNA from 1 species